GAAAUGCGAUAAGUAAUGUGAAUUGCAGAAUUCCGUGAAUCAUCGAAUCUUUGAACGCACAUUGCGCCCUCUGGUAUUCCGGGGGGCAUGCCUGUCCGAGCGUCAUUGCGAACCCCUCAAGCACGGCUUGUGUGAUGGGCCCUCCCGCGUCUUGGUCGUCAAGACGGGCCCGAAAUGCAGUGGCGGCUUCGCGGUUAUCCGAUCAGCCAGGGCGUAUGGGGACUUUCUCUCUGUCACACGCCCGCGGCGCGGACCGACGCCUGUCGACCUUCAUUCAUCGUUUUCUCGGUUGACCUCGGAUCAGGUAGGGAUACCCGCUGAACUUAAGC
rnacentral:misc_RNA from 1 species